rnacentral:misc_RNA from 1 species
GAUGAAGAACGCAGCGAAAUGCGAUACGUAAUGUGAAUUGCAGAAUUCAGUGAAUCAUCGAGUCUUUGAACGCACAUUGCGCCCCCUGGUAUUCCGGGGGGCAUGCCUGUCCGAGCGUCAUUGCUGCCCUCAAGCACGGCUUGUGUGUUGGGCCUCCGUCCUCCUCCCGGGGGACGGGCCCGAAAGGCAGCGGCGGCACCGCGUCCGGUCCUCGAGCGUAUGGGGCUUCGUCACCCGCUCUUGGAGGCCCGGCCGGCGCUUGCCGACACAUCAAUCUUUUUUCCAGGUUGACCUCGGAUCAGGUAGGGAUACCCGCUGAACUUAAGCAUAUCAAUAAGCGGAGGA